rnacentral:rRNA from 1 species
AUUGAACGCUGGCGGCAGGCUUAACACAUGCAAGUCGAGCGGGGGAAGGUAGCUGGCUACCGGACCUAGCGGCGGACGGGUGAGUAAUGCUUAGGAAUCUGCCUAUUAGUGGGGGACAACAUCUCGAAAGGGAUGCUAAUACCGCAUACGUCCUACGGGAGAAAGCAGGGGAUCGUCCGUCCUUGCGCUAAUAGAUGAGCCUCAGUCGGAUUAGGUAGUUGGUGGGGUAAAGGCCUACCAAGGCGACGAUCUGUCGCGGGGCUGGGAGGAUGAUCCGGCACACUUGGACGUAGACACGGGCCAGACUCCUACGGGAGGCGGCAGUGGGGAAUAUUGGGCAAUGGGGGGAACCCUGAUCCAGCCAUGCCGCGUGUGUGAAGAAGGCCUUAUGGUUGUAAAGCACUUUAAGCGAGGAGGAGGCUACUUUAGUUAAUACCUAGAGAUAGUGGACGUUACUCGCAGAAUAAGCACCGGCUAACUCUGUGCCAGCAGCCGCAGUAA